UCCUGGGUAGUCAAGUGGCUAAGACUCUGUGCUUCUGAUACAAAGGGUCCAGGUUUGAUCCCUGAUCAGGGAA
rnacentral:tRNA from 1 species